AUCCCAUGGUGCGGGCAUUCUAGGAUGUACUCCUGAAGUUGCUCCCAAGCUUCAUAAAUGGUCUCCUUGGACACUUGCUGAAAACUCGAAAUUCUUCCACGUGGGGCA